rnacentral:rRNA from 1 species
AUUGAACGCUGGCGGCAUGCUUUACACAUGCAAGUCGAACGGCAGCGCGGGCUUCGGCCUGGCGGCGCGUGGCGCACGGGUGAGUAAUACAUCGGAACGUGCCCAGUAGUGGGGGAUAGCUCGCCUAAAGCCGGAUUAAUACCGCAUACGACCUGAGGGGGAAAGCGGGGGAUCUUCGGAGCUCGCGCUAUUGGAGCGGCCGAUGGCAGCUUAGCUCGUUGGUGGGGUAAAGGCUUACCAAGGCGCCGAUCUGUAGCUGGGCUGAGAGGAGGACCAGGCAUGCGAGGACGGAGGCACGGCCCAGACUCGUACGGGAGGCAGCAGUGGGGAAUGUUGGACAAGGGGCGAAAGCCGGAUCCAGCAAUGCCGCGUGUGGGAUGAAGGCCUUCGGGUUGUAGAGCACUUUUGGCGGGAACGAAAAGGACUGUGCCAAUACCACGGUUCGAUGACGGUACCCGCAGAAUAAGCACCGGCUAACUACGUG